AUGAACGCUGGCGGCGUGCUUAACCCAUGCAAGUCGAACGAGAAGUGGAGACGGAAACCUUCGGGCGGAAGACUUUAUUUCGAGUGGCGGACGGGUGAGUAACGCGUGGGUAACCUGCCUCAUACAGGGGGAUAACAGUUGGAAACGACUGUUAAUACCGCAUAAGACCACAGCACCGCAUGGUGCGGGGGUAAAAACUCCGGUGGUAUGAGAUGGACCCGCGUUCGAUUAGCCAGUUGGCGGGGUAACGGCCCACCAAAGCGACGAUCGAUAGCCGAUCUGAGAGGAUGACCGGCCACAUUGGGACUGAGACACGGCCCAAACUCCUACGGGAGGCAGCAGUGGGGAAUAUUGCACAAUGGGGGAAACCCUGAUGCAGCGACGCCGCGUGAGUGAAGAAGUAUUUCGGUAUGUAAAGCUCUAUCAGCAGGGAAGAAAAUGACGGUACCUGAGGAAGAAGCCCCGGCUAACUACGUG
rnacentral:rRNA from 1 species